GCAGUAGUAGCUCAGUGCCAGAGCACCGGUCUUGUAAGCCGGCCGCCGAAGGUUAAAAUCCUUCCUACUGCU
rnacentral:tRNA from 1 species